CCAUUCCCCCACCUCCGCACGAGCGGUGCGUGAGGGGGAAUGUGGAGUAAUAGUGGAUACGGGUACGUUUCCCUGGGCGAGGCCAGGGGAAGAGAGGCUUGACGAGGUCUCUGGGGAGAACUGGGAGAAAAAGGCUCCCGUGAUUAAGGAGAGCUGCUAAAAAUUCCGCGGCUUGGGUGAGCAAAGAGCCUAAGGGCGCCAUUGUGCCCAGUCGGAUUGGCGAGGCUUUGCGGGGCACAGCCCUCCAGGUGCAGAAUUUGGGGGCCCUGGCCUAAAGGAGUGACCUCACUGGGUUGACAUCCCCCCCCCAACAUACACUUUGUUAUCACCCCAGUGCUGUAGCAGGGAUGCGGCUGCUUGGAGAUGGGAAUUGUGGCUCACGUUUGCAUCCCAGCUGCUGCCUGUAGAGAACUCCGUUGGUGGGCUCAGGUCGUGUAUAACGUGAUCAUUAGCAUCUCAGUGUCUCAAGGGAACCUCCUGAAGUUUCGGGAGGCCAAACAUCCCUCAGGUCGUCGAGUUGUCGAACACAGACUGGAACACAGACUGGAACCGGUGUUUUCUAACUCCACUUCCCAGUCCAAUCUGCCCACACGGAAAACGCAGAAGAUGCCAUUCUCUCUCUCUCUCUCUCUCUCUCUCUCUCUCUCUCUCUCUCUCUCUCUCUCUCUCUCUCUCUCUCGCUGUCUCUUACAGCUGGUUAAGUGGGAUGAAGAUAAUGCCACUUUGAAAGACCGCUACGGAAAUGGAUUCGCCGUGAAGGCAUUUGCAGAGGACUCUGAAAAUACAGCUUUUUAAUUGUUAGCGAUUACCUAAUACUACUUACGUUUCAAGUUCUUUCAAAAGACAAGCAUUAAGGUAAACUACCUGGAAGAGAGAUGUAAUCAAGAAAAAGUAAAUGCUCAAGUAGAAACAAGAGGGAUGCAAAAUGAGACGUUGUCAUAACAGUCAGAGCCCGGGAGCACAGCAACGUAUUCUACUAAGACCAGGAAAAUAACCUUUUCCCAGUCAAGCCUGCAGGCAAGGGGAGGGCAAGGAAAGAUGCUGGGAGAAAGCCAGUCACAGACGACAACCAGAUCCCACUGCAUGAGCCAAAUCUGACCAAGACUGAGUGUCUCAUCAGCCCUCACCCAUGAGAAUCAUGCAGUCCUCUGGCCCAAGAAGCAGAGUGCUACUCUGGGUAACUAUGCCCCUUCCCUCUCUGUUUUCCCCUGCAAUAUUUUCCCAGUCCAUAGCACUGAUCGCCUCCUUUAGUGUCCCUUUCUAAUUGAAACUAUAGACUUUCCCAGAACCCCAUCCAACAUGGAAAAUUGUUCUCUAAUCCCAGUUCUGACUACACCCUACGUCUCUGGCCAGGGUCCUGCUAGGAUGGAUUACUCUCAGACCAAUGAACUUCUCCAAAUACCACACACUGACUAGGCUUACUGGUUUACCAUAAUCUUCUUCUGGACAAGACCACAUUGGUACUAAAGCUUGUCUAAGUCAUGUCUGACCUUCAUGCGCCCUUUGGACAGGAAACAGAGGACUACCUCGUUUGGGUCAGCAUCUGUGUCUAAUUGUUUCUUUAGUCUCUGUCAUGCUUGGUCUUAAAUUCAGCCCCCUCUUCACCAACCAGUAUUGCUAAAUUCCUGACAUGUCUUCAUCCUCCCACUGUUCCUAUUGUGCUAUUGUUGCCGUAUCUGACUGAACAUGGUCGCAGGGUCAACAGAAGUUAAAAUCGAUGUGGGAGGAUACCCUACUUAGAGCCUCACUUCCGUUUGGUUCUCAUUCUCCUCCUCCUAUAAGUAGGACUAUACCGCUUUGCAGUUUCCUCCCAUUUCCCUUCCUUGAACCACUUAAGGCUUCUGAACCUCAGUUGGCUCAACUGUAAAGUGAGUCGGUAUUUCCUUCAUCACACUGAUACCGGAAGAUUAAAUGCGAUGACGUAUCUGUCAUGCACUUGCCACAGUGUCUGGCAUAGAGUAAGUAGUAAGUAUGUGUAUUGUUAGCUGUCAUGUGACCCUUAGGAAACUGUAUUUUCUAAUCCAACAUGAACGGUAAUAAAAAGUAGAAUAUGUCAGGUCUCCAAGCUGUUCCAUAGCUUCAAAAGUCUAAGACAUACAGAAUGGGUUUUGUGUCUACAGGCAAAACAUUAUUUAAAUUUGCCUCAGGCCCCGUUUCUCUUGAUUUUACCAUGUAUCUUUGGACAUUUAUGGUAUAAUGGCUGUCCAGCACCUGUUUACCCUCUCUUAAAUAGCCCCCAAAUUUAUUUUUGGUGAAUUUUCUCCCUGUCAUUGUAGUCUCUGACCAGGGACUCUGUGGUAUUAGGUGAAGGAGGCUUAAUGGGGAACACGUUGUCUAAAGAAUGCCAAAUGGAUGCUCUCUCCCUAGAUUUGAAUCUUGAGCAGAGGUACAUGGAAUCUAAAAACAUUUGGAAUGACACUUCAUUCCAAGAGCAGCACCUUGAUCACGUAGCUCCUACAGUCUACAUCCUAGCCUUCGGAGUAUUUUGGAUUCUGCCCAAAAUAGGACUUCCAGCUUCCUGACAAUUCUGUAAGACCCAAUCCCCCACCCCGGCCCCAAUCAUAGAUACAACUUUCAUACAACUCUGUUUUGUUUGCAUUCCCCAGAGUCCAUUUCUACUGUUUGCAACUGAAGAAUCUUGAUCACUAGGCUGUGACCCUGGCUUUUGGUUCCGCCCAGUGCUGUCUCCUACUUGUAUCCUUUCUUGUGAGGCCUGGUUCUGUGUCCACAUGAACACUUGAAUUCCGAGCUGUGGUUCAGUCCUGCUUCGCUCCCUUGGCUUCACCCUAAUAUAAUCUCUGCCUUACUGUUGUGAGGAUCCAUGGCUUUAGGCUCAUAUUCUCCUAAUUGACAAAGCCGGCCACACCCUGCUAAAGCUUUGUGUUUCAGUGCAGCUGUCUGCUUCAGUCACCCGGAGCCCUACCUCAGCUUCUGGUUGGAACCCUGCCAAGCGCAGACCUAACCCUUUGGACUGUGACUUAAUGCUUUGUGUUCCGCCAGCUUGGGUGACCUGAUGUAACUGAGAAGAAACUUCAACCAAAUGCCAAUACUUGCUGCUUUCUAGAGCUGUUACUCUCACUCCUACGAGUGUAUUUUUGUCAAUCACUGUCAUGACCGUCGAAGCCAGUCUCACCCUGUGUCUCGUUUCCUUUCCAUAUAUUACCUGUGUUCUUUAACACUUGUUGACUCAUAUCAGCAAAGACAUAUCAGCUGGGUCUCUUUACAAUGGAGCAAAUACACAUUGCACGUUCUAAAGUUACUACAGUUAUGUCAGUACUUAGUGAUGGGGUAGUCUUUGUUUUUGCAAGCUGCCUUAUCAGCUUCGUUCUGGUCUUAAAAUAUUAAAGAGAGGGGCGCCUGGGUGGCUCAGUCGGUUGAGCGUCCAACUUCGGCUCAGGUCGUGAUGUUGCGGUCUGUGAGUUUGAGCCCCA